ACUCUUUUAGUAUAACUAGUACAAUUGACUUCCAAUUAAUUAGCUUUGAUAGUAUUCAAAAAAGAGUA
rnacentral:tRNA from 1 species